GAUGAAGAACGUAGCAAAAUGCGAUAAGUAGUGUGAAUUGCAGAAUUCAGUGAAUCAUCGAAUCUUUGAACGCACAUUGCGCCCGCCAGUAUUCUGGCGGGCAUGCCUGUUCGAGCGUCAUUUCAACCAUCAAGCCCCCGGCUUGUGUUGGGGACCUGCGGCUGCCGCAGGCCCUGAAAACCAGUGGCGGGCUCGCUAGUCACUCCGAGCGUAGUAAUACAUCUCGCUCAGGGCGUGCUGCGGGUUCCGGCCGUUAAAAGCCUUAUUUACCCAAGGUUGACCUCGGAUCAGGUAGGAAGACCCGCUGAACUUAAGCAUAUCAAUAAGCGGAGGA
rnacentral:misc_RNA from 1 species